AUUGAACGCUGGCGGCAGGCCUAACACAUGCAAGUCGAGCGGAUGAAGGGAGCUUGCUCCUGGAUUCAGCGGCGGACGGGUGAGUAAUGCCUAGGAAUCUGCCUGGUAGUGGGGGAUAACGUCCAGAAACGGGCGCUAAUACCGCAUACGUCCUGAGGGAGAAAGUGGGGGACCUUCGGACCUCACGCUAUCAGAUGAGCCUAGGUCGGAUUAGCUAGUUGGUGGGGUAAAGGCCUACCAAGGCGACGAUCCGUAACUGGUCUGAGAGGAUGAUCAGUCACACUGGAACUGAGACACGGUCCAGACUCCUACGGGAGGCAGCAGUGGGGAAUAUUGGACAAUGGGCGAAAGCCUGAUCCAGCCAUGCCGCGUGUGUGAAGAAGGUCUUCGGAUUGUAAAGCACUUUAAGUUGGGAGGAAGGGCAGUAAGUUAAUACCUUGCUGUUUUGACGUUACCAACAGAAUAAGCACCGGCUAACUUCGUG
rnacentral:rRNA from 1 species